rnacentral:rRNA from 1 species
AGGACGAACGCUGGCGGCGCGCUUAAUACAUGCAAGUCGAGCGAGAACCAGGGCUUCGGCUCUGGGGACAGCGGCGAACGGGUGAGUAACACGUGGGUAAUCAACCCCCGACACCGGGAUAGCCCAGGGAAACUUGGAUUAAUACCGGAUGCUCCGUCUGGCUUUAGGGCCGGCCGGAAAAGGGUAGCUUCGGCCUCCGGUCGGGGACGAGCCCGCGGCGGAUUAGCUUGUUGGUGAGGUAAAGGCUCACCAAGGCGACAAUCCGUAGCUGGUCUGAGAGGACGAUCAGCCACACUGGGACUGAGACACGGCCCAGACUCCUACGGGAGGCAGCAGUAGGGAAUCUUGCGCAAUGGGCGAAAGCCUGACGCAGCGACGCCGCGUGAGGGAAGAAGGCCUUCGGGUUGUAAACCUCUUUCAGGAGGACGAAGCCACUCGGGUUAAUAGCCUAGAGGGUGACGGUACCUCCAGAAGAAGCCCGGCUAACGUACGUGCCAGCAGCCGCGGU